rnacentral:rRNA from 1 species
UACGGGGGGGGCAAGCGUUGUUCGGAAUUACUGGGCGUAAAGGGCUCGUAGGCGGCCAACUAAGUCCGACGUGAAAUCCCCAGGCUUAACCUGGGAACUGCGUCGGAUACUGGAUGGCUUGAAUUCGGGAGAGGGAUGCAGAAUUCCAGGUGUAGCGGUGAAAUGCGUAGAUAUCUGGAGGAAUACCGGUGGCGAAGGCGGAUCUCUGGGCCGUAACUGACGCUGAGGAGCGAAAGCAUGGGGAGCGAACAGG